rnacentral:lncRNA from 1 species
GUUCGGUUAGGAUCAAUACUUGUAAUCAAUAAGGAUUCCUCGAGUUCAAUUUGAUGGUAUGAACAAUUGCAGAUAAAAUAUCAUUUAAAAAAAAAAAUUGCAGAUACCUGCAAAGCACUGGAAACGGACAGCUUAUGAGACUCCUUUAGUUUUUUUGGGGGGUAAGGGAGGCUGAAGGGAGCAGCCACCCAUCUUUUAUUAAAAGCCA